rnacentral:lncRNA from 12 species
UUGCCCCAGGGAUUCAGGGAGGGAAUAAAAUUGCCAGGAAAGAAAGGACUCCCUGCUGCUCCCCCAACGUGUCUGGGGAGUCCUGGGCUUUUGGGACAGAAGUCAUGGAAUCCUGGAAUCCCAGAAUGGUUUGGGUUGGAAAGGACCUUAAAGCUCAUCCAAUCCCACCCCUGCCAUGGGCAGGGACAACUCCCACUGUCCCAGGCUGCUCCAGGGACAGCUCCCACUGUCCCAGGCUGCUCCAUCCAACCUGCAUCGCUUGGAUGUUUCCAGGGAUGGAGCAGUGACAGUUUCCAUGGAUGUGUGCCAGGGCCUCACCAUCCUCACAGUCCAAACUUUUCCUCCUUGCCUUUCUCCAGCUCUUUCCCACACCCUGAUUGUCACCACUGGUGGCCUCCUGAUUGUUCUGCUGGCUCAGAAUUCCAGGCUCCCGCUCUGCUUUAUUUCACGCGCCUCGGCUGGAAUAAAAUCAGGUUUGCGGUGCUGCCAAAGCUCCUGACUCCCUGUUUCGCCCCCACAAAAACCCUGCCACGGUCCCAAAGGUUUCCACGGUGGGAGGGUUGUGUCCUGCAGCUCCGGAGCUCGAGGAAUUCUCACAGAAUUGAAUUGAAGAUCGGCGUAGCUCCGGAGCAAGGAGGAGAUUUUGAUGCCAGGGAAAGGAAAAAAGGGGAAAAAAAACCAUCGUCGGGGAGCGAACAUCUCCCUCCAUCCCCUCUCCCCAGCGGCUUUUCCGCGCUCCCCCCCCCCCCCCCCCCCCCCCCCCCCCCCCCCCCCCCCCCCCCCCCCCCCCCCCCCCCCCCCCCCCCCCCCCCCCCCCCCCCCCCCCCCCCCCCCCCUCUCCCCAGCGGCUUUUCCGCGCUGCUGAGGCUCCUGCUCCUCUCCAGGAGCCGUCUCCGAGUGACAGCGGCGAGCGGAUUAAUUAAGCUGCUUGUCAGCCCUUGGCAGGCGGCAGCUCUGCCACGCCAGCGCUAAUUAAACCCAACAAAACCAACCUUUAUCUGCAGAGCCCUGCCGCGGGCUGGGAUGAGGCAGGAGGCCACCGCCAGCCGAGUUCAUCGCGCCCGAGAGCCUGGCAGCCACCCUGAGCGCGGGGAGGGUUUGGGGAUGGGGAUGCCACGCUCUGAAAACAGAUUUGGGAAGGGAAAGGGGUUGGGGGGCUCCAACCCCACUGAUGACAGCAGAUUUUGGGGGGCUGGAAGCUCUCAGGCAGAUUUGGUGCUGGGUAUCCCCCCCCGUGUGGAAGUGGAAAUUCCCCCCCUCGCUCGUGUUUUAUCCCCAAAAAGGGAUUUUCUGUGAUCUCGGCAGCAAACCCUUGGGUGAGCUCUGGGCAUCCCAUUCACGGGAGGGUCCGGGGUGAAACCCGGUACCUGUUGAUGCUCCAGACACCUGGAAAGCCACAUUUACACCAGAAAAGGCUGUGAAAACACCCCUUCAGAGAGGAGACAACGCUGCAGGCGGGUUGGCACCGGCACUGCUGAGUGUCUGAGCCCCGGGCUCCCCUCGCUGCUCCUCCUGGCAGAGCAGCGCUGAUCUGCCUCGCCUGAGGGAGGCUGAUAAGAGAAUUAUCCGGAGGCACGAGCAGGAUGGAGGCAAAAUCCUUCCCCUCGUUCCCUGGUGAAGGGGAAAGGCAAGGCCGGGUCAGGCUGGGUGCUGCACAAAUCCAUCCACGGGCCAAUUCAGCUGGAAUUGUACCUGGCUGAGGGUCGUUCCCAGCGCACGCCGCUGCUCCUGUCCUUCCAGGGUUUAUUUUCCAGCCGCAUAAUUUGGGCAACUUUAAUUGCCCCAUGAUUAAGUGACUUUUGAUUUCCCUCUCAUCAAACGUAAUCUCAUUUGCUCCUUCUCCUUUUCCUUUCUUUCACUCUCAUCCCCCCACCCUCCUGGAAAUUGAAUUAACAUUCCAUCUAAUUACUCAGCCACUUCUCUAAUUGCUGAAGGGACUGUGGUUGUGGUGCUCAUUUAAUUAAUUGAGACCUGCAAUGUUUAAUGAGGAAGAGGAUUUAUUGGCGGGGGAGUUGGUGUGCAGGGCUGCCUGGCAGGAGAGGGAGGUGGAUGCCAGUCCGGCGGGACAGAAAAGGCUGGAUCUCAAACCCCCCCCCCCCCCCCCCCCCCCCCCCCCCCCCCCCCCCCCCCCCCCCCCCCCCCCCCCCCCCCCCCCCCCCCCCCCCCCCCCCCCCCUUGUUUGU